rnacentral:rRNA from 1 species
UACGUAGGGCGCAAGCGUUGUCCGGAAUUAUUGGGCGUAAAGAGCUCGUAGGCGGUUUGUCGCGUCUGUCGUGAAAGCUUGGGGCUUAACCCCAAGUCUGCGGUGGAUACGGGCAGACUAGAGGCAGGUAGGGGAGAACGGAAUUCCCGGUGUAGCGGUGAAAUGCGCAGAUAUCGGGAAGAACAUCAGUGGCGAAGGCGGCCUGCUGGGCUGUUGCUGACGCUGAGGCGCGACAGCGUGGGGAGCAAACAGG